rnacentral:rRNA from 1 species
GCGUGCUAAUCUGCGAUAAGCGCCGGUAAGGUGAUAUGAACCGUUAUAACCGGCGAUACCCGAAUGGGGAAACCCAGUGUGAUUCGUCACACUAUCAUUAACUGAAUCCAUAGGUUAAUGAGGCGAACCGGGGGAACUGAAACAUCUAAGUACCCCGAGGAAAAGAAAUCAACCGAGAUUCCCCCAGUAGCGGCGAGCGAACGGGGAGGAGCCCAGAGCCUGAAUCAGCAUGUGUGUUAGUGGAAGCGUCUGGAAAGGCGCGCGAUACAGGGUGACAGCCCCGUACACAAAAGCGCAUGUGCUGUGAGCUCGAUGAGUAGGGCGGGACACGUGGUAUCCUGUCUGAAUAUGGGGGGACCAUCCUCCAAGGCUAAAUACUCCUGACUGACCGAUAGUGAACCAGUACCGUGAGGGAAAGGCGAAAAGAACCCCGGCGAGGGGAGUGAAAAAGAACCUGAAACCG